rnacentral:tRNA from 2 species
ACUCUUUUAGUUUAUUAUAAAAUAUGACUUUGAAGCAGUUAAGAAUUUUGAGAGUG